rnacentral:rRNA from 1 species
UACAGAGGUCCCAAGCGUUGUUCGGAUUCACUGGGCGUAAAGGGUGCGUAGGCGGUUGGGUAAGUCUGAUGUGAAUCUCACAGCUUAACUGUGAAACUGCAUUGGAUACUAUCCGGCUAGAGGAAUGGAGGGGAGACUGGAAUACUUGGUGUAGCAGUGAAAUGCGUAGAUAUCAAGUGGAACACCAGUGGCGAAGGCGAGUCUCUGGACAUUCCUGACGCUGAGGCACGAAAGCCAGGGGAGCAAACGGG